rnacentral:rRNA from 1 species
ACGCUGGCGGCAGGCCUAACACAUGCAAGUCGAGCGGCAGCGGGAAGUAGCUUGCUACUUUGCCGGCGAGCGGCGGACGGGUGAGUAAUGUCUGGGAAACUGCCUGAUGGAGGGGGAUAACUACUGGAAACGGUAGCUAAUACCGCAUGACCUCGAAAGAGCAAAGUGGGGGACCUUCGGGCCUCACGCCAUCGGAUGUGCCCAGAUGGGAUUAGCUAGUAGGUGAGGUAAUGGCUCACCUAGGCGACGAUCCCUAGCUGGUCUGAGAGGAUGACCAGCCACACUGGAACUGAGACACGGUCCAGACUCCUACGGGAGGCAGCAGUGGGGAAUAUUGCACAAUGGGCGCAAGCCUGAUGCAGCCAUGCCGCGUGUGUGAAGAAGGUCUUCGGAUUGUAAAGCACUUUAAGUUGGGAGGAAGGGCAGUUGCCUAAUACGUAACUGUUUUGACGUUACCGACAGAAUAAGCACCGGCUAACUCUGUGCCAGCAGCCGCGGUAAUACAGAGGGUGCAAGCGUUAAUCGGAAUUACUGGGCGUAAAGCGCGCGUAGGUGGUUUGUUAAGUUGGAUGUGAAAUCCCCGGGCUCAACCUGGGAACUGCAUUCAAAACUGACUGACUAGAGUAUGGUAGAGGGUGGUGGAAUUUCCUGUGUAGCGGUGAAAUGCGUAGAUAUAGGAAGGAACACCAGUGGCGAAGGCGACCACCUGGACUGAUACUGACACUGAGGUGCGAAAGCGUGGGGAGCAAAC